rnacentral:rRNA from 1 species
UAGGGAAUCUUCCGCAAUGGACGCAAGUCUGACGGAGCAACGCCGCGUGAGUGAAGAAGGAUUUCGGUUCGUAAAACUCUGUUGUUAGAUAAGAACAGCGCAUAGAGUAACUGUUAUGCGUGUGACGGUAUCUAACCAGAAAGCCACGGCUAACUACGUGCCAGCAGCCGCGGUAAUACGUAGGUGGCAAGCGUUGUCCGGAUUUAUUGGGCGUAAAGCGAGCGCAGGCGGUCAAUUAAGUCUGAUGUGAAAGCCCCCGGCUCAACCGGGGAGGGUCAUUGGAAACUGGUUGACUUGAGUGCAGAAGAGGAGAGUGGAAUUCCAUGUGUAGCGGUGAAAUGCGUAGAUAUAUGGAGGAACACCAGUGGCGAAGGCGACUCUCUGGUCUGUAACUGACGCUGAGGCUCGAAAGCGUGGGUAGCAAACAGG